rnacentral:piRNA from 1 species
UAACGUACGUAUGUUUGAAAUGUGACUAGACU